GCGAGAGGGCGAGGCUCUGAUUGGCCGCGCGCCCCGUCCCUCUCCUCUCUUCCGCAGGCCACGGGGGCUUUGGUAGCCGACGCUAAGGAGGAGCGUCUCCGCUCCCGGCUGCAGGAUCUCGGGAGGGGGCGGCGUGCGGAGGCGAGGGACCGGGAAGGAGGAAUUAGGCGGGAUGACUCAUCCCUCGCCCCGCUUCCUUCCGACCUCCGGCGCCGUCUCCCAAGAGCAGGGGGCGUGAGAAAGCCCUCCCCGCAGCGAGCAGGCCCACGGAGGGGGCCGGGGCUGCUCGCCAACCGUCUGCGUUUGGCUUCCAGCCCUGGUCCCCGCGCCGACCUGUACCGCGGGCGAGGGCCGCGCGCCCGCCAGACCCCUCCUUCCCUUCCGCUGCCCGCAGCCUGCCUGGGCCCGAGCCUCCCCCGGGCCCGGGGUUUUGUACCGCCCGGCCCCGGCGCUCCCCAUCCCGGGAGCCUGCAGCCCCGGGCGGAAAAGCCCCCAGGAAGGGCCUCUUUGCUCCUUUCACCCUCACUGCCUGAGGUCUAAGAGGGGAAUUAAGAAUACCGAUUUCUUAGUGUUGCCAUGAGAUUGCAGCUAGGUGACCGAUGUAAAUAAAGGCUCAGUAUGGUAGCUAAAAAAAAAAUCUCUAACUCUUCAUUUCCCGCUUAAAAAUCAGGCUCGGCCCAGAGGCUUCUCCGGGCGUGGUGUGAACCUAACGGUGUGAACGUGCCUGUCUCCCCUCUUCACCCUCCCUGCCUCCCAAAGCGGUGCUGUCACGGGGCUCUCGCACCUGGCCGAGCUUUCGCAAGGUUUGAGGCAGGUCAGGCAGGGUUGCCUAUUGCUCAGCGCCUACAGUUCAGUAACUAGCUGCAGACGAAUCACUGUGUCACUGCGGAGUCUCAGUGUUUGAAUCCAAACAGCAUUAUACAGUGUCACGUGGCCUGAGCAUUUAUCACAGCUUCAGAAUGGGAUUUCCAUCAAGUAUUGCUGCUUCAGAAAAGGGAGAUACACAGGAGUGUACGCAAGAUGAUUUUGAUUUUGGGAAUGAUGAAGCCUCACAUCCUGAGUAUCAGCAGCUUGUCAGUGACAGCAGUCUCUGAAG